rnacentral:rRNA from 1 species
ACUCAAAUGAAUUGACGGGGGCCCGCACAAGCGGAGGAACAUGUGGUUUAAUUCGAUGAUACGCGAGGAACCUUACCUGGGCUUAAAUGCAGGACGGCGUUUCGGGAAACCGGAAUUCCCUUCGGGGCGGACUGCAAGGUGCUGCAUGGUUGUCGUCAGCUCGUGCCGUGAGGUGUCGGGUUAAGUCCCAUAACGAGCGCAACCCUUAUCGUUAGUUGCCAGCGGGUAAAGCCGGGGACUCUAACGAAACUGCCGGUGUAAACCGAGAGGAAGGUGGGGAUGACGUCAAAUCAGCACGGCCCUUAUGUCCAGGGCUACACACGUGUUACAAUGGCCGGUACAGAGGGCAGCUACCUGGUGACAGGGUGCAAAUCUCGAAAGCCGGUCCUAGUUCGGAUUGAAGUCUGCAAUUCGACUUCAUGAAGCUGGAUUCGCUAGUAAUCGCGCAUCAGCCACGGCGCGGUGAAUACGUUCCCGGGCCUUGUACACACCGCCCGU